UAGGGAAUCUUCCACAAUGGACGCAAGUCUGAUGGAGCAACGCCGCGUGAGUGAAGAAGGGUUUCGGCUCGUAAAGCUCUGUUGGUAGUGAAGAAAGAUAGAGGUAGUAACUGGCCUUUAUUUGACGGUAAUUACUUAGAAAGUCACGGCUAACUACGUGCCAGCAGCCGCGGUAAUACGUAGGUGGCAAGCGUUGUCCGGAUUUAUUGGGCGUAAAGCGAGUGCAGGCGGUUCAAUAAGUUUGAUGUGAAAGCCUUCGGCUCAACCGGAGAAUUGCAUCAGAAACUGUUGAACUUGAGUGCAGAAGAGGAGAGUGGAACUCCAUGUGUAGCGGUGGAAUGCGUAGAUAUAUGGAAGAACACCAGUGGCGAAGGCGGCUCUCUGGUCUGCAACUGACGCUGAGGCUCGAAAGCAUGGGUAGCGAACAGGAUUAGAUACCCUGGUAGUCCAUGCCGUAAACGAUGAGUGCUAAGUGUUGGGAGGUUUCCGCCUCUCAGUGCUGCAGCUAACGCAUUAAGCACUCCGCCUGGGGAGUACGACCGCAAGGUUG
rnacentral:rRNA from 1 species